GACGAACGCUGGCGGCGUGCCUAACACAUGCAAGUCGAACGGAAACGCCCUGCCAAUGUGGGCUGCUCGAGUGGCGAACGGGUGAGUAACACGUGAGUAACCUGCCCCUGACUUUGGGACAACGUCAGGACACUGCGGCUAAUACCUGAUAGCAGCUCCUGCUGCCAGGUGGGGGCUGGAAAGUUCCGGCGGUUGGGGAUGGACUGCGGGUUUAUCAGCUUGUUGGUUGGGUAGUGGCUUACCAUGGCUUUGACGGAUAGCCGGCAUGAGAGGGUGACCGCGGACAAGAGGACUGAGGGAGGCAGCAGACGGGUACGGGAGACAACAGGGGAAAGUCUUACCCAAUGAGCGGAAGCCCAGGAUGGAGACGCUCGGUUUGGAAUGAGGGCUUUUGCGUUGUAAACCGCUUUCGCCUAAGAAAAAGGGUGAGUGACGGUAAUGGAUAAAGAAGCACCGGCUAACUACGUG
rnacentral:rRNA from 1 species